AUAGCUUUGUUCGCAAAAGUCUCGUCCUUUAUACUAUGCUUUUUCCUCAUCAUCUCUAACGCACGUCCGCGAAGUUUCGUACAGAAUAUCAGCUUUUUUCAUAUUCCAAUCCUAGUCAUCAGCUGAUCAGCAAGCAGUUGAAUCAUUUAUCUAGCAAUGGAUUUGUAAAUUGAGAAUAAAUCAGCUUCUCUUUUAAUUUGACGCCGCAUUUUAAGCUCAUCAAAUUUGAUACCCUAUUUGACUCGAGAGUUUCUGCUUCAUGGUA
rnacentral:lncRNA from 1 species